CUUGUACUCCCUCCGUUCGAAAAUACUUGUCAUUAAAAUGGAUGUAUCUAGAUGUAUUUUAGUUCUAGACACAUCCAUUUUGAUGACAAGUAAUUUCGGACGGAGGGAGUACUUG
rnacentral:pre_miRNA from 1 species